GGUUGCCAUCCGCCGCCGCCGCUAGUGCUUCGCGUUAGUAUACGAAGUUCUUUUGUUGGAUCUUGGCCUUUGAUGACCUGAUUGUUGCAGAAUAGGUAAAUAUUUGCCUGAUAUCUGUUGAUAUUUCUCAUGAACUAGGACGGUCUGAGGUCGUUUUAUCAUGGAUGUACUUUGCAGCGCAUUUGCUUUAUGGUACCUUUAUUGUUGCUUCUGUGGUUGGAUGAACAGAUUUGAAUGAGAUGGCUGUGACGACUCGGAAAUAUUCAAGCUCAACAGACCAAAUCACAUGUCUAUCUCUGAAAAUCGAGAUUGAUCUGUAUGCCGAUUAUCCCGCUGAACCGAGCCAUCUGAAAUCUAUCGUCUUCAGUUAAUUGCCAGUUUAAUUUUAUGUUUGUAUUGGAUGGAGGAGUUUGUUUUGAAGAGGGCAAACAAGCUCCCUCUUCUGAAGACAUUGAGGACGCUUGAGGGCAGAAUCGAACAAAUAAACCUAUUGCCACCAUUGAGUAACUAGGUAUCGUAUCUAAUUUAUUAUUGUUUUGAAGUAACUUGAUUUGAGACAGGCUUCAGCUGUGUGAGUGAAGCAGCCAUCUUUGCAUCUGAAGCCAUCCUACCCAUUCCUGUGUAUCAGAGGAUGAAACCUCGAAACAAUCUUAGGACACCUUCUGACACAGCGUUUCCGCUGUGGAUGAGAAGUCAAUUCUUUUCUGAUGAUACUAAAUGACUCAUUUUGGUAUGGCCUUUUGAAAUUUCUUUUCACAGUUUUCUCGUCUUUUUAACCUUUUUUAGCAUUUUAUAAGAUGACAUUUAUCCUUACUACCAUUACAUAUCAGUUGACAUGAAUAUAACAACAGAAGCCUAUGAGGAUUAGCUCUACAUCUGGAAUUACCGUCAGAUUUACUUGUGACGACAAUUGCCUGGCUUACUGAGGCUUAACCAUUACUUGGAUUUGAUACAAUCUAUAUUUUUUCCAUGUUUCUGUCUAUUUCAUCCUGUUUCCAGUUUUAGUUAUGCUAUUGUGAUCGUGUUGCAUUUUAUUCAAGGGCUUUGGCGUUUUUGCCCCUGUUUUGUGUGCCGCCUCCUUUUUGCUUUUUGUGAUUUUGCCCUCGCCUUUUGGAAAUUAUCCUUUUUUUUGACAUAGGCAUAUCUAGGAGUGCUCGAUGUCAAAAGAAGUAAAAUCACAUAAGGCAUUUCUGUCUUUUUGCUACAAAUGUAACACCUUUUAACUUCUAACAAAAUAGGUGUAAACUGGAACUUCAUUUUCAAAAAAGCGAGGGCAAAAUCGCACAAUGCAAAACGGAGGGGUAAAAUUACCAUUGGCACGCCAAAGCCCCUUUUCCAAAGCCCCUUUUAUUUAACACCCAUCGGUGUUUUUUAUUAUACAUUUACAGUUGUGCUAUACUAUUCCCAGUGAUGAUCCUGAGACCUACCGAUAGGAAGUGCCGUUUCUCUCAUCUGCAGGUGUCCAUCCUUAGAGCAUAACCUUUGUGGUUUGGUCUGGAGUGGAGUUCCCAUCUGCAGAUGUUUGAUUCAGAUGUGGUGUGUGAUUUAAAUCGGGUCUCUGAGGGAUUGUAUAAAACUAUCUUUUAUUUUAUUUUGUAGCUUUGUGCAUUGUUUGCCAGUCUCAUGGGCCUGAUGCCACGUCAAUGGUAGCUUUGAGCAUUAACCGGUGAUGCUAUGAUUAGGCCUAAAAGGAGUUGUUUCAAUGUUUCACAUUUUGAUAGGAACCUGGGGAUGGCCACUCUAUCUGUCCACAGAGCCGGUUUCUGUGAUUACAUUUACACUUCUAUUCCUACCCUUUUGUUUUUAUGUGGUGAUGAUGACACAGCUAAGGCUUGUUUCUCAACAUUCGCAGUAGCCGCCUAAGAGCUUUCGCCCUGCCAGGCUUGAGAGCUAGUGCUGUUAGUUCCUUCCUUGGAUGUCUGAGCCUUGUUUAUUUUCCCACCUUGCAUUUCAUGUUUUAGAACAUUGUUCAAAUUGUCUUGCAUCAGUACUUUUUUGCUAUUUGUGCAUUGCAGUAAAAUCAAGGCUUGUUUCUCUACAUUCUCAGUUGCCGCCCAAGAGUUUUCGCCCUGCCAGGCUUGAGAGCUAGUGCUGCUAAAUCCUUCCUUGGAUGUCUGCUGCAAUCAUGCAAAUUCAAUAUGUUCUCUUGUGGUAUUUGCCUACCAUUGUUCCACUUGUCUCUUCUAGUGUUGUCUUUAUUUAUUAUCCGUGCCCUAUGAUGAUAGAAUUUAGGCUUGUUUCUGUACAUUACAGAUUGUGCCUAAUGGCUUCCUUACAUGCUGCAUCUUGCUGGUUCUCGUUCUGUUUUGCAUUUUUUGGUGACAGCCAGUCCAGUUCAGCUGUUCUACGAUAUUGUAAGAUUAUGCCAAGAGGGGAACUGCUGGAUAGUGGAGUAGAGCUUUAACACCAAAGGAAGUGGACUCCUCAGCCUUCUAGUGGAAGAAAAUUACCAGGAAACUUUGGGUGGACAGUGCUGUGUAGCAUUCCGUUUUUAUCUUGUUCUCGUGUUCAGUAUGACUGUGUGCAUGAUUUUAUUUAUGUUCAGUGUAAUUUAAUCAAUUGUAUUGGUAUCUUUUCAGAGUUCUUUCUUGUUAAUGUAAAGUACAGUAGUCCUUCGUCAAGUGAGUGCUUAGUUACUUUGGAAAGGCUACUCCUAGGACACUCAGUUGACUAUAUGUUGCAACUGUUAUAUUGUAGAAAAUGAAAUGAAAAAUUGUUGAAUCCU